rnacentral:misc_RNA from 1 species
GAUGAAGAACGUAGCGAAAUGCGAUAAGUAAUGCGAAUUGCAGAAUUCAGUGAGUCAUCGAAUCUUUGAACGCACAUUGCGCCCCUUGGUAUUCCGAGGGGCAUGCCUGUUCGAGCGUCAUUAUAACCCUCAAGCUCAGCUUGGUGUUGGGGCCUGCUGCACUGGCAGCCCUUAAAAUCAGUGGCGGCGCCAUCUGGCUCUAAGCGUAGUAAUUCUUCUCGCUAUGGAGUCCUGGUGGAUGCUUGCCAUCAACCCCCAAUUUUUCUAUGGUUGACCUCGGAUCAGGUAGGGAUACCCGCUGAACUUAAGCAUAUCAAUAAGCGGAGGA